UACGAAGGGGGGCUAGCGUUGCUCGGAAUCACUGGGCGUAAAGCGCACGUAGCGUCUCUUUAAGUCGGAGGUGAAAUCCUGGAGCUCAACUCCAGAACUGCCUUCGAUACUGUAGAGCUUGAGUUCGGGAGAGGUGAGUGGAACUGCGAGUGUAGAGGUGAAAUUCGUAGAUAUUCGCAAGAACACCAGUGGCGAAGGCGGCUCACUGGCCCGAUACUGACGCUGAGGUGCGAAAGCGUGGGGAGCAAAACAGG
rnacentral:rRNA from 1 species